GAUGAACGCUAGCUGCAGGCUUAACACAUGCAAGUCGAGGGACCGGCGCACGGGUGAGUAACACGUAUCCAACCUUCCCUUUCCUCUGGGAUAGCCUUUCGAAAGAAAAAUUAAUACCCGAUCUAUAGGAUGGUGCUGCGUUUCAUUAGGUUGUUGGUGAGGUAACGGCCCACCAAGCCCUCGAUGGAUAGGGGUUCUGAGAGGAAGGUCCCCGACAUUGGAACUGAGGCACGGUCCAAACUCCGACGGGAGGCAGCAGUGAGGAAUAUUGGUCAAGGGGCGUUAGCCUGAAACAGCCAAGUAGCGUGAAGGAUGAAGGCGUAUGGGUAGUAAACUUCUUUUAUAGAAGAAGAUGUAUUAAAUAAAUAAGGAUCGGCUAACUCCGUGCCAGCAGCCGCGGUAAUAC
rnacentral:rRNA from 1 species